GACAGCUGCACCCAGGAGCCAUGUGCUGCAGAACAAGCAACAACCGGCACCAGGAAUAGGCUACGCCUAUCUCAGUGUCCCUGUGUGGCUCUCAGGCACCCAGGGAAUCCUGCCUGCUGAGUAUUCAUACCUGGAUGCCCAGAGCUCUCAGAUAGUAACGUAUCAGUCACCCUUCAAGACCAGAGCAACGGGACCAUUUGCUCUGCAGAGAAACAACUCACCUGCAAGAGGAGCCUGGGAAGUAGAGCCUUGCUUGCCCACAAGGAGAAGAAGUUACUGUCAUCGGAAAAUAUUCCCACAUGUGCUAAAUGCACUCAGCACUCAAGCAAGAAAGGUGAUUCAGAAGGGCUGGUGCUGCGGACAAGAGCAAGUAUGGGAGCAGCCUGUGGCUCCCCUCCUGGGACCCUCCAGAUGAGACCCACCCACUGGAGUUGAGCUUUGAAGGAAUUGACCCUGGUGUGCGUGAGGAAGUACUUCAAUGAUGAUGGCCCUGGCCACUCUUUCGGGAAAACUCUGUCACCUCUCCCUUGACCCCUCCUCACCCGCAAAUCCUCAGGCAAAAGCAGAAGAAUUAAGCAAGCCUUCCACUAGAAGCAACCAUUAACCUAGUUUUCAUUGUCUCCAAACCUGCCUGACUAUAGCAGAUAGGAAUCUGGGUGGUUUUUUGUUUUUCUUUUUUUUUUUUAAAUAAAUCACUUUAAGACUCCUGAA